ACUUACAAGCAAUGCCAUCCUGAAUGUGCCCGAUCUCGUCUGAUCUCAGAAGCUAAGCAGGGUCGGGCCUGGUUAGUACUUGGAUGGGAGACACCUAGGAAAACCAGGUGCUGUAGGUG
rnacentral:rRNA from 1 species